CGUGCCGGGCCAGGUGCCCUUCCCUCCAGGGGUGCGUGGCCUCGUCGCCCGCGGGUCCUGAGGCCCUGGGGCCCGCGUCCAGUGCGCAGGCAGCCUGCUGGGAGCAACGCCUCGCCUCAGAAUUGGGCCGGGGCUGUGUGCUGUCCCCCAGCAUAUUCCACACUGCCGGCACAGACAGACCAGACUUCUGAAAUAUAUGUUGGGGGAACGCUCUGGACAGUCCUAUGGGAUAGACUCGGUCAUCUCGGAGAGACCUAGAACUUGCCGAAGACCAGAGGGUGAGGACGUACAGCAGGAGUUCUCGAACUUUGUUGGGCAUCCAGAUGCUCUGGAGGCCUUGUGAAACCCCAGUGGUCGGCCCCACCCCGGAGUUGCUGAUUCAGUGGGUUUGGAAGGGGCCUGUCUCACAAGUUCCCUGGUGAUACUGAUGCUUCUGGUCUGAGGCUCACACUUUGAGAACCACUGAUGUUGAAGACUCGAAACUCAACCAAGCUGGGUCUGGCUUCAAAGAGCACGUGAGCUACCGAAUCCACUGGGAGAUUCGAGCCUUGCUUCCAAUUGUGUAGGGUCAGCUGGGCUAUAUGAGCACAUCUAGGGAGGGGCUGUCCCCCGGCUGGGCCUAUUAGAACACUGUGCACCUGAGUCAAAUGUUGGGGUGACCCGUGGACAGAAGACCCUGAAGCACUGGGUGGAGACCAUCAGCAAGGACAAUCCUUCCCUCCACCCCGCUCCUCCCCAUUCACCCCACAUACACAGACUCACUUGCUGUGCCCAGGAGUUAAAUUACUGCCUGAUCUUAUCCCCGACUUGUGCUAAACUAUGUCCAAUAAAAUGCUUUUAAAUCCUU